AUGUGCAUACCCAAGCUUUGGGGAGGUAUGGGUUUCCGGGAUAUCCACAGUUUUAAUGUAGCAAUGCUUGCCAAACAGUGCUGGAGGCUUAUUGAAAAUUAUGACUCCCUUUGUGCAAAGGUGUUGAGAGCCAAAUAUUAUCCUUCUGGUGAUCUUUUGAAUUGUGCUCUAAAAAAGGUAUCAUCUUAUAUAUGGCAGAGCAUAUGGUCAGGCAUUCAAACAGUUAAGAAUGGUUGCAUUUGGAGAGUGGGAAACGGUUUGAAAAUCAAUAUCUGGGAUGAUUGUUGGAUCCCCAACAGUAGUUCGAGGAAGAUUAUUACUCCAAGAGGUAACUGUCUCCUUACUAUAGUCAAUGAGCUCAUAGAUCCAUCUAAUGGUGACUGGGAUGAAACUUUGAUUCAGGAUAACUUCUGGCAUAUAGAUGCGGAAAGGAUUCUACAAAUUCCGAUCUAUCAGUAUGAUACAGAGGAUUUUAUAGCCUGGCACCUCACCAAGUCGGGCAUUUUUAGCGUCCGGUCUGCGUAUUAUAAACAGUGGGAGGUCAGUUAUGAAUCAAAAAAUGCAAAUCUAUUCGGCGUACAAGGAUCCUGCCCUCAUCCAGUAUGGAAGAGGCUAUGGAGUUUGAAAGUCCCGGGUAAGGUAAAAAUAUUCUUGUGGAGAUGCCUACACAAUGCUAUACCAUGCUGCUGUGUUUUAGCAAACAAACAUAUCUCAAACUCUGCACAAUGUCCUAUAUGCUCUCUGUUUGCUGAAGACACAGCGCAUUUGCUUUUUAAAUGUGGGCGAGCCAAAGAGAUUUGGACAAGUCUUGGACUGCAUGAACUCAUAAACAAACUAGCAGUGCCA
rnacentral:rRNA from 1 species